AGAAGGGCUUCCGCGACGGCGACGUUGAGGAGGCUCUUUUCUUUUGC
rfam:Rhizobium sp. AC27/96 AS1I6_20, whole genome shotgun sequence.